CCUACGGGUGGCAGCAGUGGGGAAUAUUGCACAAUGGGCGCAAGCCUGAUGCAGCGACGCCGCGUGAGGGAUGAAGGCCUUCGGGUUGUAAACCUCUUUCAGCAGGGAAGCGGUACCUGCAGAAGAAGCGCCGGCUAACUACGUGCCAGCAGCCGCGGUAAUACGUAGGGCGCAAGCGUUGUCCGGAAUUAUUGGGCGUAAAGAGCUCGUAGGCGGUUUGUCGCGUCUGCUGUGAAAACUCGAGGCUCAACCUCGGGCUUGCAGUGGGUACGGGCAGACUAGAGUGCGGUAGGGGAGACUGGAAUUCCUGGUGUAGCGGUGGAAUGCGCAGAUAUCAGGAGGAACACCGAUGGCGAAGGCAGGUCUCUGGGCCGCACUGACGCUGAGGAGCGAAAGCAUGGGGAGCGAACAGGAUUAGAUACCCUGGUAGUC
rnacentral:rRNA from 1 species